rnacentral:SRP_RNA from 1 species
GCCGGGCGCGGUGGCACAUGCCUGUAGUCCCAGCUACUCGGGAGGCUGAGGUGGGAGGAUCGCUUGAGCCCAGGGGCUCUGGGCUGUAGUGUGCUAUGCCUAUCGGGUGUCCGCACUAAGUUCAGCAUCAAUAUGGUGACCUCCCGGGAGUGGGGGACCACCAGGUUGCCUAAGGAGGGGUGAACCAGCCCAGGUUGGAAACAGAGCAGGUCAAAACUCCCAUGCUGAUCAGUAGUGGGAUCACGCCUGUGAAUAGCCUCUGCACUCCGGCCUGGGCAACAUAGCAAGACCCCGUCUGU